AACGUAGGAGACGAGCGUUAUCCGGAUUUACUGGGCGUAAAGCGCAUGCAGGCGGGUUAUUAAGUCACAUGUGAAAUCGCCCGGCUCAACUGGGGGAGGACGUGUGAAAAUGCUGAACUAGAGAGAGGUAGAGGCGAAUGGAAUUCCGGGUGGAGUGGUGAAAUGCGUAGAGAUCCGGAGGAACACCAGUGGCGAAGGCGAUUCGCUGGACCUACUCUGACGCUCAGACGCGACAGCAUGGGGAGCGAACGGG
rnacentral:rRNA from 1 species